GCGGAUCUGAUCGGACCAACGUACUGGG
rnacentral:sRNA from 1 species